rnacentral:rRNA from 1 species
UUCAAAAGUGAAAGACGGUCUUGCUGUCACUUAUAGAUGGAUCCGCGCUGCAUUAGCUAGUUGGUAAGGUAACGGCUUACCAAGGCAACGAUGCAUAGCCGACCUGAGAGGGUGAUCGGCCACACUGGAACUGAGACACGGUCCAGACUCCUACGGGAGGCAGCAGUAGGGAAUCUUCCGCAAUGGGCGAAAGCCUGACGGAGCAACGCCGCGUGAGUGAUGAAGGUCUUCGGAUCGUAAAACUCUGUUAUUAGGGAAGAACAUAUGUGUAAGUAACUGUGCACAUCUUGACGGUACCUAAUCAGAAAGCCACGGCUAACUACGUGCCAGCAGCCGCGGUAAUACGUAGGUGGCAAGCGUUAUCCGGAAUUAUUGGGCGUAAAGCGCGCGUAGGCGGUUUUUUAAGUCUGAUGUGAAAGCCCACGGCUCAACCGUGGAGGGUCAUUGGAAACUGGAAAACUUGAGUGCAGAAGAGGAAAGUGGAAUUCCAUGUGUAGCGGUGAAAUGCGCAGAGAUAUGGAGGAACACCAGUGGCGAAGGCGACUUUCUGGUCUGUAACUGACGCUGAUGUGCGAAAGCGUGGGGAUCAAACAGGAUUAAUACCCUGGUAGUCCACGCCGUAAACGAUGAGUGCUAAGUGUUAGGGGGGUUUCCGCCCCCUUAGUGCUGCAGCUAACGCAUUAAGCAAAUCUUGGAUUAAGGUGGGGCACCCCUAAGUUGACAUACCGUUCUAGGGCUCGGCUCUCUCUUCUGC